rnacentral:lncRNA from 1 species
AUGUCUAAACACAGGACGAAAAAGCUCAUCAUUGAAGAUGAUGAGCCAAAGCAAGAUGAGCUGAAUCCGUUUUCUUUCAAGGAGUUCGUCCGAUACAAGAACCAGCAGUCUUGUACUACAGAAGCCACAGAGGUGUGUGGUGGAGCAUUCAACGUCGAACAGGAUUAUAACACCUCCAUAGAUUUUGCCACGAAGGGGCCGUUCUUCUCAGACCCGUCUGCGCUCUGUCAGCCUUCUGAAAACGAACCUGAGGAAACAUGGAUUGAAAGCUGCCGCCCAUCAGCCCUUGAUGGUUCUCAUGACUUCGAACUAUCUGGUACUUUAGACCUCAGUGCUUUCUCUGAGCAGUCAUCUCUCUGCAGUGAUGAGAGGGGAGCACAUGUAACUGAAUGGGAACUGUGUAAUUCUGACUUCCUGCCAAAGAGCCACUUAGCUAGAAGAAGCACAGGAAGCUAUGAGGGUGAUGAAGAGACUUCAGUGAUUGACAUUUCCUUCCAUCCGAAGAGGAGUAAUGCUGAAAAUGGCACAAAGAAUCCCCAACAGCUUAGAGAAGAGAAUUCUCUACUCAGAAAGCAAGUCAAAGAACUCCUUAGAAGGUCAGAAUCUGACUCCAAAAGGAUCAAACAACUGACGGAUGAGUUGCACAACAAGAAGUUGCAGGAGGAGAGAGAGGCUAAGGCUUUGGAGACAAUGGUGCAGUCAGUAGAACAAAACCUUGAGUUAAUGACGGUAUUAAGCACUGUGUUAUCUUUCAUAUGACAUUUCUUUUUGUUUUUAGUGUAAAUCCUAUUCUUAUAAAUGCUUUAAAAAAUUCUGUUUUUUUUUCCAAUACAGAAGCGAGCAGUCAAAGCUGAAAAUAGUAUUUCAAAAUUGAAACAAGAGAUACAACAACUCCAGGUUGGACUUCUUUUCAUAUGCACAAGCACACUGAAGAAAGCAUACUAUGCACAUACAUUAUAUAAUGUCA